rnacentral:misc_RNA from 1 species
UCGUGGAGCUCCGGCUCCUUCGAGGGAGAACCCUUGCCUUUGAGCACCUGUUUGUUUCCUCGGCAGGCCCGCCUGCCAAUGGGGACCCCUUCAAACUCUUGCAAUAACCUGUAUGAAAUCGUCUGAACAAAACAAACAAAUCA